GUUCGCCCGCGUGCCUGCCGCCCGCAGCCGCGCAGGCGCGGUCCCAUCUCCACUUCCGCCUCCGGUCGCUUCCGGCCUCUACGGGGGCCGCCAGAGGAGGGUAUGCUACACACCUCAAGAUGUGGGUCUCUGGCCUUUGGCUGGGAAUAAGCCCCCAAGCUUCCCUGUUUUUAGAAGCCACUAUCUGAAGCGAGAUCCCUCCUGGUCACUCUUCUCUCCGAUCCUCCCUGACAAUGUCUACCCUAAUUCUCAACUUGGACUUUGGGGACUGUUCUCCCCCAAAGAAGGCAACUGAGGGGAACCACAGGCACCAGCGUUUCAUCCAACGACAAAGGCGGAUACAGAGGAAUCUUAAGCAGAAACAGAUGCAGGUCCCUGCUAGGCCUUCAGGAUCAGGUCAUUCGAAACUCCAAAAUAAAGGGGGGGCCCUUAGCACAAAUAGUAAACAGAAACUCCAUCUCCCCCCUGAACCUAUAGAGGAGACACCCACUCAGAAAAAUGGAAUUGAGAAGCCCUUGAAUAGGAAAGUAUCAACAGUGUCUUGGUUGACACCUGCUCCUUCAAGGAAGACCAGUUCAGUAUCUGUGGCAUCUAAGGUAGAUCUCCUGUCAGAGUUUCAGAGUGGCCUUUGCCCCCUCCCACCUACCCGAACCCUCCCACCUGCAUCAGAGAAGGGCUGCAACAAGAAGAUGGUGGCUCUUGACUGUGAGAUGGUGGGCACAGGGCCUAAAGGCCAUACCAGUUCUUUGGCCCGGUGUAGCAUUGUAAGUUACAAUGGUGACGUGCUAUAUGAUGAAUACAUUCGUCCUCCCUGCAAAAUUGUUGACUACCGGACCAAGUGGAGCGGUAUCAAGAAGGAGCAUAUGAUUAAUGCCACUCCUUUCAAAGUGGCCCGGAAAGAGAUCUUGAAGAUACUUGUUGGCAAGAUUGUAGUGGGCCAUGCCAUCCACAAUGACUUCAAAGCCCUCCAUUACUUUCACCCCAAGCCCCUUACCCGAGACACUUCCCGAAUUCCUAUCCUUAAUUCCCGGGCUGGCUUCCCUGAGAAUGAAUCAAUCUCUUUGAAGCGUCUGACCAAGCAGCUGCUCCAUCAGGACAUUCAGGUAGGGAAGAGCGGACAUUCCUCAGUUGAAGAUGCCAAGGCAACUAUGGACCUCUACAAACUGGUGGAAGUUGAGUGGGAGCAACAGCUGGCCCGGUCUCCUCCCUCUCAGGAGUAGGGGAGGUGGGGUUUGGGGACUGGUGGUCAUUUCGGAGAGAAUACAUCAGACUGAGGAUAAACAGGACUUAGGCUGGAGCUGUUGGGAAGUAUUUCAUCUACAGAAAAACCCGGGGCCAUAGUUCUGUCUUCAUUGCUUUGCCUCUGGAGACUAGAGCCACCUCCAUGACUGCCAUUAGAAAAUAAAAACGUCACCCCAGUAACAGCUUUCCCUUUAGCCCCACCAGGCCUCAAGCAUUAGCUCAUUGACUUCAUAGCAUGAUCUACAUGCACAGGCAAUCAUCAAGGCUUGAGCAAGUUGGUUCCUGUCAAGCCUAGCAGGCAUCAAUGUCCAUGUUGGCACAGAAGAAGUGACACUGCGUGGUCCAUGAAUAGAGAGAACCAGGAAGUCUAUGAAGUCUGUAUAACCUGAACAAGAUAACCUAUGCUGGCCUUAGAAUUGGGCACGAAAACAGAAUUAGAUUACAGAUAGCCAUGAUGAAGAAAGACUACUAGCAAACUCAGAACCAGGUAACUUGAUUAAAAUCCGAAUCUUUGGCCUUUGUGGGACCUAUUUAUGAAAACAUUUUGGGGACAAGACCAGACUCCAGCUUAUAUAUGUGGAAUUCACAAUACAUAUACCCAGCCUCAAUGAAAUUAGUACCUGGAAUUAUUGACUAGAUUAUAAGCUCUUUUAGGGCAAGAGGUAGUCUGUUUACCAUAUUGGUCCAUUUGAGUAAAACCUGAGUGUCCAACACAUGUUAUUUUUCAGUGUGAAUUUUAAUGGGUGGUCUUUUUUGAGAUUUCAUUUGAGAUUUUCAUUACAUUUAGUUUAAUAUAAGCAUUUAUGUAUCUCACCUAGGAAAAUGCCUUAUUGUUCAUGACUGGCAACUGAAUGAAUGACUUAGACUCUGGUUCAUUGUUGUUUUGGGAGGUGUCCAGACUUAGGAUUUCAUUGGUUUAGAGAUCAGUGGAUAAAGCACCAGGCCUGGAGUCAGGAGGACCUGAGUUCAAGUGUGCCCUCAGACACUUAACACUUCCUAGCUGUGUGAUCCUGGGUAAAUCACUUAACCCCCAUUGCCUCAGCAAAAAAAAAAAAAAAAAGGGAAAUCAUUGAUUUAGAGAUGUCCUAAUGAAAAAUUCCCAUUACCAAUGCAAAUCACUAAUUGCUCUGUAAGGCAGAGUCCUAGAAAGUCUCCGGGAAGCACUGAGAGUUUGUCCAGAGUAAGUCAUUACUUAUCAAAGUUAUAUUUGAGCCCAGGUCUUUCUGACUCUAAGGUAAACUAUCUAUUGUAUCAUACUGCUCUGCAAACAAAUGACAACAUUUGACAAUAGAAAUGUAAGCACUUAAUUAAUGAAUGUCUUAAUAUCACAGAAUUUCAUGAUUUCCAAAGGAUGUUAGAAAUGAAUCCAUUAUGUACCAGGAAGAGAGAAUCCCUGUACAACAUGACAUAAGUGGUCACCAAACAUUUGUUUGGAAGACUUCAAAUGAGGAAAAGCCUAUAACAUUCUUAGCCCAUUUCACUUUUGAAUAAUUCGAGUUAUUAGGAAGUCUUUACUCAAAUUAAGGUCAAUUAUUGCAAUUUCUAUCCAUUGCUCUAAACUAUGCCCUUUAAAGGUUAAGCAGAUGAGUCUUGUUCACUUUUCAUUCAAAUGCUGGAAUACAGCUUAACACACUCAUGAUGUCUUUUCCAGGCUAAACAGUCUGGUUCCUUCCAUCCUCUUAUGGGCAAGAACUUGAAGAUUUUUCGCUUUCCUUGUCACUACCCUCUGGAUAUGCUCCAUCUUAUUGUCCUAACUCAAAUGUAUCCAAAACUGAACACAAUACUCUCUCAGUGUAGUCUAAGAGCCCAUUAGCUUUCCUGGACAAUUGUGUGGACUUAUUCAUUGAGUGUGUGACCCACAGAAAACACCACACCUUCAUUAACUGGGCUAACACCCAUUUUGUAUUUGUGAUAAUUGACUUUUUAAAAUCAUGCAUAACUUUA